ACGCGGAUCUUGGUCACGCACAGCAUGAGCUACUUGCCGCAGGUGGACAUCAUCAUUGUCAUGAGUGGCGGCAAGAUCUCUGAGAUGGGCUCCUACCAGGAGCUGCUGGCCCGAGACGGCGCCUUCGCUGAGUUCCUGCGUACCUAUGCCAGCACAGAGCAGGAGCAGGACCCAGAGGAGAACGGGGUCACGGGCAUCAGCGGUCCAGGGAAGGAAGCAAAGCAAAUGGAGAAUGGCAUGCUGGUGAUGGACAGUGCAGGGAAGCAACUGCAGAGACAGCUCAGCAGCUCCUCCUCCUAUAGCGGGGACAUCAGCAGGCAGCACAACAGCACCGCAGAACUGCAGAAAGCUGGGGCCAAGAAGGAGGAGACCUGGAAGCUGAUGGAGGCUGACAAGGCGCAGACAGGGCAGGUCAAGCUUUCCGUGUACUGGGACUACAUGAAGGCCAUCGGACUCUUCAUCUCCUUUCUCAGCAUCUUCCUUUUCAUGUGUAACCAU
rnacentral:sRNA from 1 species